rnacentral:rRNA from 1 species
CCAUGCAUGUAAAAAGUUCAACUUUUUGUGAAACUGCGAACGGCUCAUUAGAGCAGCUAUCAUUCUCUUCGGAUAUCCUUUAUGGAUAACUGCGGAAAUUCUGGAGCUAAUACAUGCAACUAAACCUCGACUUUGAAGAGGUGCAGAUAUUAGUACAAACCAAUCGUCUUCGGACGUUGUUUGUUGACUCUGAAUAUCGCAGUUUAUCGGCAGGUAAUCUACCGAUAACCGAAAGAAGUGUCUGCCCUAUCAACCAGAUGGUAGUCUAUUAGUCUACCAUGGUUAUUACGGGUAACGGAGAAUAAGGGUUNGACUCCGGAGAGGGAGCCUUAGAAACGGCUACCACAUCCAAGGAAGGCAGCAGGCGCGUAACUUAUNNNNNACNUCAGUGAGAUAGUGACUAAAAAUAAAAAGACCAAUCCUCACGGAUCGGUUAUUUCAAUGAGUUGAGCUUAAAUAGCUCUCGAGACCU